rnacentral:rRNA from 1 species
GACGAACGCUGGCGGCGUGCUUAACACGUGCAAGUCGAACGGAAAGGCCUCUUUCGGGGGGUACUCGAGGGGCGAACGGGUGAGUAACACGUGAGUAACCUGCCCUUGACUUUGUGAUAACUUCAGGAAACGGGGGCUAAUACCGGAUAGGAGCUCCUGCUGCAUGGUGGGGGUUGGAAAGCUUCGGCGGUUGGGGGUGGACUUGCGGCUUAUCAGGUUGUUGGUGGGGUAGUGGCUUACCAAGGCCUUGACGGGUAGCCGGCCUGAGAGGGUGACCGGCCACAUUGGGACUGAGAUACGGCCCAGACUCCUACGGGAGGCAGCAGUGGGGAAUAUUGCACAAUGGGUGGAAGCCUGAUGCAGCAACGCCGUGUGCGGGAUGACGGCCUUCGGGUUGUAAAACGCUUUCGCUCAUGACGAAGCUUUGUGUGACGGUAGUGGGUAAAGAAGCACCGGCUAACUACGUG